rnacentral:rRNA from 1 species
UACAGAGGUCUCAAGCGUUGUUCGGAUUCAUUGGGUUUAAAGGGUGCGUAGGCGGCCCGUUAAGUCAGUGGUGAAAGCCUCCAGCUCAACUGGAGAACUGCCAUUGAUACUGACGGGCUUGAGUACAGACGAGGUUGGCGGAAUUGAUUGUGUAGCGGUGAAAUGCAUAGAUACAAUCAAGAACUCCGAUUGCGUAGGCAGCUAACUAGGCUGUAACUGACGCUGAGGCACGAAAGCGUGGGGAGCGAACAGG